UAAUACUAUUUUAAAAUGGGGAAAGCUUCUACAAGCACCUUGGUCAGUUCCAGGUGUAGAAGUUACAUAGUAGAUCAGAACCACAACUUUUAACUUCAACAAGUAGUACCAAAACAAGCAUCUACAUUGUAUAAAAUAACAACACAACACUAGCAUACUUGAAAGGUGUUUAUACCACACUACUAACAAAUCACAACACAGACUUACUUGCAGCACUGAGGAAUAACUUCUUCUCAGUAAAGUCACAACUUGAAGCAGUUUUUCUUAUGAAAAACAAAACAAAACAAAAAACACAGAAGUUUUCUUCAACAAAACACCACUAGCAUUCUGUUAUCUCAAUACCAGUGAGGCACAGCAGGAGAUACUUAGGCCAUAUGUUGUACGGCUGCUCUGUGUUAUUAUCUGCCUCACCUGGUAAGGGUGAGGUAAAACUAUUUCCCUCCUUUUCCACUGUUCAAAAGAGCUUAACAAAGUCUGAGGAAAAUGCCUUGACUCUCCUUAUCCUGUAAUGGGGGAUGCACCCUGCCAUCAUGUUAUCUCACUGUGCUCUGCAGUGGAAGUUUCCAGAAAGCACUGAGCAGGGCAGGGCUGUGCUGCUAGGCCUAGGUGAAAUGGCGGCGUUUCCACAACCUGCACAGGCUGUGAGGAGCACUUCAGUCUGUGACACCACAGGAAAGCUCACUGUGAAGGAGAAUACCACCUUGCUUUGCUGCUUUGUCGCUGCUAAUGACUGUGUCUCUUACCAAAUGACUACCACCUUCAGAACAGAGACUGGAUAG
rnacentral:lncRNA from 1 species